rnacentral:lncRNA from 1 species
AUAGCAACCCAAAAUAAUUAUCAAAAGAACUCUGUAGAAUAUGUGAAUGUAUAAACACACAAGCCUUGUAAUCUACAACACACUGUCAGAUCCUACCAUUUAUCCACCUUUGUUUUGUUAUCCAAUGCACCAGUUCCAAUCAUUAAUAUAAUUUAAUGCAUUUGAUUUACAUUGUUUAAAACCAUGUAGUGUGUCUAAUUUAUCUUUAAUCGGUAUCCUUAUAGUGUAUGGUGCCUUCUUUCAGCAAUUUUCUAGUUGAUAUUUCAUCCUUAGUGUUUGGGGCUGUCCUUCAUCAAUAAUCUAGUUGAUCUUCAAUCCUGGUGCCGUCCUUCAUCAAUAAUCUAGUUUAUCUUCAGUCCUUAGUCUUUGGUGCCGUCCUUCAGUAAUAGUUGAUCUUAUACCCUCAGUGUUUGGUGCCGUCUUUCAGCAAUAGUUGAUCUUAUACCCUCAGUGUUAGGUGCCGUCCUUCGUCAAUAGUUGAUCUUAUACCCUCAGUGUUAGGUGCCGUCCUUCAUCAAUAGUUGAUCUUAUACCCUCAGUGUUUGGUGCCGUCUUUCAGCAAUAGUUGAUCUUAUACCCUCAGUGUUUGGUGCCGUCUUCAGCAAUUGUCUAGUUGAUCUUAUAUCCUCAGUUUUUAGUGCCGUCUUUCAGCACUGGCCUUACCCCAGUUAAGCUUCAAUCCUCGGUUCUACGUGCUGUCUUUAAGAAAUUGUCUAGUUAAGAUUUAAUUCUCGGUGUUCAGUUCCCUCUUCCAGCAAACCUGUAGCUGAUCUCAAUUUCUCAGUGUUGAGUGUCGUCUUUCAGCGAUUUGAUUAUAUUUUACGAUAAGUUAUGAUCAAUAUAGAAUAUCUUAUUACAUUUAAUGACAUCUUUGUUAAAAUAAUCUUCAUGAGCAUGACAUACUAGUUUUGUAAAGGUAAAUAACCCAAGUCAACUAUUUUUAUAUGAAAGUUUAAAGGGUAUUGUUUUUUC